rnacentral:rRNA from 1 species
AUUGAACGCUGGCGGCAGGCCUAACACAUGCAAGUCGAACGAAGCGGCGGAUGGGUGAGUAACGCGUGGGUAACCUGCCCUUAAGUCUGGGAUACCAUUUGGAAACAGAUGCUAAUACCGGAUACUAAAGGAUGGACCUGCGAUGCAUUAGAUAUUUGGUAAGGUAACGGCUUACCAAGGCGAUGAUGCAUAGCGGAGUUGAGAGCUGGAUCGGCCACAUUUGAACUGAGACACGGCCCAUACGCCUACGGUAGGCAGCAGUAGGGAAUUUUCCACAAUGGACGAAAGUCUGAUGGAGCAACGCCGCGUGAUUAAAGAAGGUUUUCGGUUCGUAAAGCUCUGUUGUUGGUGAGGCGGUAAUCAACCAGAAAGUCACGGCUAACUACGUGCCAGCAGCCGCGGUAAUAC